UGUCGACUUGGAGGUUGUGCCCUUGAGUCGUGGCUUCCGGAGCUAACGCGUUAAGUCCACCGCCUGGGGAGUACGGCCGCAAGGUUAAAACUCAAAUGAAUUGACGGGGGCCCGCACAAGCGGUGGAGCAUGUGGUUUAUUUCGAUGCAACGCGAAGAACCUUACCUGGUCUUGACAUCCACAGAACUUUCCAGAGAUGGAUUGGUGCCUUCGGGAACUAUGAGACAGGUGCUGCAUGGCUGUCGUCAGCUCGUGUUGUGAAAUGUUGGGUUAAGUCCCGCAACGAGCGCAACCCUUAUCCUUUGUUGCCAGCGGUCCGGCGGGGAACUCAAAGGAGACUGCCAGUGAUAAACUGGAGGAAGGUGGGGAUGACGUCAAGUCAUCAUGGCCCUUACGACCAGGGCUACACACGUGCUACAAUGGCGCAUACAAAGAGAAGCGACCUCGCGAGAGCAAGCGGACCUCAUAAAGUGCGUCGUAGUCCGGAUUGGAGUCUGCAACUCGACUCCAUGAAGUCGGAAUCGCUGGUAAUCGUGGAUCAGAAUGCCACGGUGAAUACGUUCCCGGGCCUUGUACACACCGCCCGUCACACCAUGGGAGU
rnacentral:rRNA from 1 species